UUUGAUUGAACUUGAUUUAGCACUAUUUUAGAUUGAACUAGUAAAUGACAUCAUACUAAUCCAAUCUUUUCAAAUAGUACUAUUAUUUCUAUACAUAAAGUUUAAGUAUUACAAACAUACUUUGCAAGCAAACUUAAAUAGCCUAAACAACUAGGAAAGAAGAAACCUAGUAAGUAUUUUUAGAACACAAAAAUCUCAUAUUAGAGAUAUGAAUAAAGCAAAACAAAUUAAAGAACUGUCCCAAAUAAACGAACUUUCUUCCAUCCAUCAAUUCGUCAAACUAUGUCUCAUCCCCAAAUAAGUUAGAGUUGCCUAUAAAAAUCUAGGUCUAUUGUGUUUAUUAUUAUUUAUCUGUUCUUUUAUAUUUAAAUCAAUAUACUAUUUCUAUGUUGGUCAAACAACCUACAGGAAUCUCUUCCUUUAUCAGGUUAAAAAGAUUAACAUUCUUCAAAAAAAAAAUCCGAACAACUAAGAAAAAGAAAGGAAAUGUUUAACCCAAAUCCGAACAAUUAAAAAAAAGAAAUAAAUCUGUUAACCCAAAUCCAAAUAACUAAGAAAAAAAAGAAGAAAUCUGUUAACUAAACUGGGUACCUUGACUUUGUAGAAAAUAAGCUUUGUGAAUCUCAGCAGCAAAAACCUCGGUGAUAAAACUUUUUUCUACUCCAAGUAUCUAUUAUAGCACAGCCAAAUGUAAAAAAUUAGGUUUUUUGAAGAAUUCUAACUAAGGAAGAAAACUGUAUUUUUUAGAAUUGGGAGGAGGGAAGCAAGAUUCUUACCGCCAAAAUCUUUUCCUUAUGAAUCUCCAAUACUCUCCAUACAUAGCUCCUUGUACAAAUUCUGGCCAAACCCAAUUUGAGAUUUUGAGCUAAACCCGAUUCGAGAUUUAGAUCAAGAAAGGAGUGGAUAGGUACCGAGGACUUCUAAGGCUUGGAGUACGGCUAAUUUCACUUAUGUUUUAAAUUGUGGUCAAUUGUGGGUUCCUUG
rnacentral:lncRNA from 1 species